GUAUAAAGUGGCGAACGGCUGAGUAACACGUGGGCAACCUGCCCUUUGCACUGGGAUAGCCUCGGGAAACCGAGGUUAAUACCGGAUACUCCAUAUUUGUCGCAUGGCGAAUAUGGGAAAGCUCCGGCGGCAAAGGAUGGGCCCGCGGCCUGUUAGCUAGUUGGUGGGGUAGUGGCCUACCAAGGCAAUGAUGGGUAGCCGGGUUGAGAGACCGACCGGCCAGAUUGGGACUGAGACACGGCCCAGACUCCUACGGGAGGCAGCAGUU
rnacentral:rRNA from 1 species